rnacentral:rRNA from 1 species
GAAUUUUUGGCAAUGGGGGAAACCCUGACCAAGCAACGCCGCGUGGGUGAUGAAGUCUCUUGGGACGUAAAACCCUUUCGACAGGGAAGAAACCCGCAAGGGUUGACGGUACCUGUAGAAGAAGCCCCGGCUAACCCCGGGCCAGCAGCCGCGGUAAUACGGGGGGGGCAAGCGUUGUUCGGAAUUACUGGGCGUAAAGGGCGCGUAGGCGGUUCGCUAAGUUAGAUGUGAAAACUCUGGGCUCAACCCAGAGCCUGCAUCUAAAACUGGCGGGCUAGAGUUCUGGAGGGGGUAGCGGAAUUCCUGGUGUAGCGGUGAAAUGCGUAGAUAUCAGGAGGAACACCGGUGGCGAAGGCGGCUACCUGGACAGAAACUGACGCUGAGGCGCGAAAGCUAGGGGAGCAAACAGG